rnacentral:rRNA from 1 species
AACGACUCUCGGCAACGGAUAUCUCGGCUCUCGCAUCGAUGAAGAACGUAGCGAAAUGCGAUACUUGGUGUGAAUUGCAGAAUCCCGUGAACCAUCGAGUCUUUGAACGCAAGUUGCGCCCGAGGCCUUUGGCCGAGGGCACGUCUGCCUGGGCGUCACGC